rnacentral:snoRNA from 1 species
CCGAUGAUGGUGUUAAAUAUACUUCGAGUAUUUCCCUAUGAAACGAAUAUUAAUCUGAGG